UGGUGGGCAGUUUGACUGGGGCGGUCUCCUCCUAAAGAGUAACGGAGGAGUACGAAGGUGCGCUCAGACCGGUCGGAAAUCGGUCGCAGAGUAUAAAGGCAAAAGCGCGCUUGACUGCGAGACAGACACGUCGAGCAGGUACGAAAGUAGGUCUUAGUGAUCCGGUGGUUCUGUAUGGAAGGGCCAUCGCUCAACGGAUAAAAGGUACUCCGGGGAUAACAGGCUGAUACCGCCCAAGAGUUCAUAUCGACGGCGGUGUUUGGCACCUCGAUGUCGGCUCAUCACAUCCUGGGGCUGAAGCCGGUCCCAAGGGUAUGGCUGUUCGCCAUUUAAAGUGGUACGCGAGCUGGGUUUAGAACGUCGUGAGACAGUUCGGUCCCUAUCUGCCGUGGACGUUUGAGAUUUGAGAGGGGCUGCUCCUAGUACGAGAGGACCGGAGUGGACGAACCUCUGGUGUUCCGGUUGUCACGCCAGUGGCAUUGCCGGGUAGCUAUGUUCGGAAAAGAUAACCGCUGAAAGCAUCUAAGCGGGAAACUUGCCUCAAGAUGAGAUCUCACUGGGAACUUGAUUCCCCUGAAGGGCCGUCGAAGACUACGACGUUGAUAGGCUGGGUGUGUAAGCGUUGUGAGGCGUUGAGCUAACCAGUACUAAUUGCCCGUGAGGCUUGACCAU
rnacentral:rRNA from 1 species